rnacentral:misc_RNA from 1 species
UCUGUUUGGAUGAUGCGCAACAUAAUUCAAACAGACUUGUAGAAAGGACAGAAUUUGUCAUAUGGAGUAAAUGCAUUCUGAGCAAGAUAGUCUUCUCUCAAAAGCUUUGCAGUCUCCAAAAUGAUCUUAUCUGUCUCAGCUAAAGCAUCCUUUCCAACAAGCUGGACUAUUUCAUUUAGAUCAUCCUCUCUCUGUAGCACUUCACGGGCCUUUGUCCUGAUGUUAAUAAAAUCUGGAUCAAAUUGAUCAUAGAAAGACUCCAGUGCUGAUGAGUACUUUGAGUAGGAAAUAAGCCAAUUAACAGAAGGGAAAUGCUUCCUCUGGGCGAGUUUCUUGUCCAAACCCCAGAAGACCUG